UACAGAGGUGGCAAGCGUUGUUCAGAAUUACUGGGCGUAAAGGGCGCGUAGGCGGCCUUCUAAGUCAGACGUGAAAUCCCCCGGCUUAACCUGGGAACUGCGUCUGAUACUGGGAGGCUUGAGUAUGGGAGAGGGAUGUAGAAUUCCAGGUGUAGCGGUGAAAUGCGUAGAUAUCUGGAGGAAUACCGGUGGCGAAGGCGGCAUCCUGGACCAUAACUGACGCUGAGGCGCGAAAGCUAGGGGAGCAAACGGG
rnacentral:rRNA from 1 species